CCUACGGGUGGCAGCAGUCGAGAAUCAUUCACAAUGGGGGAAACCCUGAUGGUGCGACGCCGCGUGGGGGAAUGAAGGUCUUUGGAUUGUAAACCCCUGUUAUGUGGGAGCAAAUUAAAAAGAUAGUACCACAAGAGGAAGAGCCGGCUAACUCGGUGCCAGCAGCUGCGGUAAUACAGAGGUCUCAAGCGUUGUUCGGAAUCACUGGGCGUAAAGUGUGCGUAGGCUGUUGCGUAAGUGGGGUGUGAAAGGCGCGGGCUCAACCCGCGGACGGCACAUGAUACUGCGAGACUAGAGUGAUGGAGGGGGAACCGGAAUGCUCGGUGUAGCAGUGAAAUGCGUAGAUAUC
rnacentral:rRNA from 1 species